UACUAUAGCUUGACACUGAACACUGGUCCUUGAUGUGUAGGAUAGGUGGGAGGCUUUGAAGCGAGGACGCCAGUUCUUGUGGAGCCAACCUUGAAAUACCACCCUUUAAUGGCUGGUGUUCUAACGUAGACCCGUAAUCCGGGUUGCGGACAGUGUCUGGUGGGUAGUUUGACUGGGGCGGUCUCCUCCUAAAGCGUAACGGAGGAGCACGAAGGUUAGCUAAUCCUGGUCGGACAUCAGGAGGUUAGUGCAAUG
rnacentral:rRNA from 1 species